rnacentral:rRNA from 1 species
GAUCAUGGCUCAGGACGAACGCUGGCGGCGUGCCUAACACAUGCAAGUCGAACGGAAGUUAGAGCUUCGGUUUUAACUUUAGUGGCGAACGGGUGAGUAACGCGUGAGGAACCUGCCUUUCAGUGGGGGACAACAGUUGGAAACGACUGCUAAUACCGCAUGAUGCUUUUGGGAGACAUCUCCUGGAAGCCAAAGCUUUAUGUGCUGAAAGAUGGCCUCGCGUCUGAUUAGCUAGUUGGUGAGG